ensembl:lncRNA
UGAACCCGUGUCCCAGCUCAAGCCAGUAACCGGCAGAAUUGAGCUCCAUGCGGUGUGGGCUGAGGUACUGGGGUCCCUGCAGGCCGUCAGCUGGGGGUCACGCUCAGCCUCUGCAGCGGCCUGCACUCCUUGGUUUGUAGCCCCCUUCCUCCAUCUCCAGCGCCAGCAGCGGGGGUUGAGCUCCUUUCGUGUUCCACAUCUCUCGGACCUCCCCUCGGGCCUCCUCUGCCUCCUUCCUCAGUCAGAGAAAGGUCUCUGCUUUUGAAGGCUCAUGUGAUUAGACUGGCCCACGAGGGUGAUCCAGGACGAUUUCCCCAUCUCAGGGCCUAUAACCUUUUUUUUUUUUUUUAAGAUUUUACUUAUUUUGACAGAGAGAGAGAGAGAAAGAGAGCACACAAGCAGGGGGAGUGGCAGGCAGAGGGAGAAGCAGGGUCCCGGCCGAUCAGGGAGCCUGACGUGGGGCUCGAUCCCAUGACCCUGGGAUCAUAACCUGAGCCGAAGGCAGAUGCUUAACCAACUGAGCCACCCAGGCGCCCCUAGGGCCUGUAGCCUUAAUCACUUCAGCAAAGUCCCCUUGCCAAAUCAUGUAACACAUUCCCAGUUCUGGGGAUUAGGGCAUGGGCAUCCUUGGGGAUCAUUAUUCUUCCUACCACAGGAAAAUUUCCAAAGCUAUCACUCAGCUAGGAACUGGCGGAGAGGUGCAGCCCGAACCCACAUCCUCUGUCUACAACACAUUUACUUUACCCACCACAUCCCAGCUGUCCCGGGAACUUUCAGAGGAUCAUUGAAUUCAUCCCAUUUCUUCCAGCAACCGCCCGAGGCAGCUGCCCGUGUUUCUCCCACACUGCAGACCGGAAGGAGAGUCUCGGCCCGCUCCGCACGCUGCGCAGGAAUACGUCUGAGUCAGGAUCUCACAGGCUCUACCGCAGAUACUCCCAAGCUGUUGGCGCCAUAGAAGAAGCUAUCCUCCUUCACUGAGUUACUGAUCUCCGACCCUUCCCCAGGAUCAAGACACCGGGAGCGAGGCCUUUGAGAUCAAACAGACCUGCGUGCAAAUCCCCAUUCUUCUCCCUUGGGCGAGCUACGAGCUCUCCCGGCCUCCCAAGCCUUGAGAGGCCGUAGGAUCGAGUAGAUGGUGGAUUAGGGCACCGAGCACAGUGCCCGGAAACAGCAGGUGUUUGAUAAUAUCCGUGCCCGGCUAGCGACACAGCAGUGUGGAAAUUCAGCCAUGGACCACCCCUGGUUUUGCCUAUUUCCCACACACUUUCCUCACAAAAUCUAACUCGAUAAUCCGGAGUCCUCUGUUUUGUUUUCCUUUGCCACUAAAACACUGACUUGGCUUGAAGUCCUCGGUCGUUACCUCGGCUCACCCUUACCACGCAUCUACCACGUGCCGGGCACUCUGCUGCUGCGAGGCCUGGUCUUACGCACGGGGAGUUUAGGGUCUAGCUGCAGGAUGGCGUGAGCAGGCACAUACCUCUAAAACGAGGCAGGGCAUGGUGAGCGAUGCGCCGUGAUAAUCCAAGAUGCGGGGACUUCAGAGGCGGCACAUGCUCUCUGGGCAUGGUGCGGUCUUAUCAUUCCUUCCCUAAGGAGCAGUUCUCCAGGGCUGCUGUGGAAAAGGGGCUCCCAGAACCAGCUAUGUAACUUGUGGGGCCCCUUGCAAAAAAAAAAAAAAAAAUUUAGAGUUUCAGCAACAACAGAGCCUUAAAGCGAAUGUGGGGCUGUUUUGAGCACGGGGCCCUUUGCGAUGUACAGGUCACAUGCCCAUGCGGCCGGCCCUGGGUGCCACCAUUCCACGACCCCCACGCUGGCCAGUCAGAUCCUGCAGAGACAGCAGCUGCUGCCUCUGGGGGAAGUGGGCACAGGGCAGACCCUGUGGGAGAUGGGCCCGCAGGCCUCCUCCAUGCUAGUGACCAUGUGUCACAGCUCCUCACUUCUGCCUGAGGAGACUCGUCACUGGGGGUGACGAUGGGUUUCCACAAGCUGAAAUGGACAGCCAUUUCCCCACCGUGAGAAAGAGCUGCCCUGCAAUUGUCUCAGGGUGGCUGACGAUGGCCUGUCCCUCGCUGUGUCUUCUGCUCACCACAAACCACCAGCAAGAAGGUUCACGAGCCAAGAGAAGGGAUGGGAGCCACUGAUACUAGCAAGCCCGAAUAAAGGAAGCUCCAGGGACA